UAGGGAAUAUUGCACAAUGGAGGAAACUCUGAUGCAGCGACGCCGCGUGAGUGAUGAAGGACUUCGGUUCGUAAAGCUCUGUUGCAAGGGAAAAAGCAAGUGAUGGUACCUUGUGAGGAAGGGUCGGCUAACUUCGUGCCAGCAGCCGCGGUAAGACGAGGGACCCUAGCGUUGUUCGGAAUCAUUGGGCGUAAAGCGGGUGUAGGUGGCUUUGUAAGUCAGGUGUGAAAGCCCAGGGCUCAACCCUGGAAGUGCAUUUGAUACUGCGAAGCUUGAGUGCUGGAGAGGCUAUUGGAAUACCUGGUGUAGUGGUGAAAUACGUAGAUAUCAGGUGGAACACCGGAGGCGAAGGCGGAUAGCUGGCCAGACACUGACACUCAGACCCGAAAGCGUGGGGAUC
rnacentral:rRNA from 1 species